GACUUGGUUCAGAUAGGGAGCGCUCCAGAGACCGGGUCCAAGAUCUUCCCCCGUUUCACAAUUAGAAGGCGGCUGUCUAGAGGCAAUGGACCUCAUCAUGACCGUUGCUGUACUUACAAUGAAAACAACUUGGUGGAUGGUGUGUAUUGUCUCCCAAUAGGACACUGGAUUGAGGCCACUGGGCACACCAAUGAAAUGAAGCACACAACAGACUUCUAUUUUAAUAUUGCAGGCCACCAAGCCAUGCAUUAUUCAAGAUCCAGGGACCAAAGGCCUGAAUUCCAGUUCUGCCUCAAGGUGGUGCUUUCCCUCAUUUUUGUAG
rnacentral:sRNA from 1 species